rnacentral:lncRNA from 1 species
AUUGACACAUUAUAUUUUUUCUAAGAUAUAAGUUUAUACUUGAUUUAUUUAUUUAUUAAUAAAAUGAGCAAUUUCUAUUCUAUUCUUGUGUUAUGUGUCAUUAAAUCAGUAAAAAAAUUAAUAAGAUGAUGACAUAUAUUCUAAAGAAUUAAGAAUUUGAGACAUGUAUCAUUGUUGGUUAACUCUUGAAUUACUCUAGAUUAAUGAAUCAUCAUAGAAAUGAUGAUCGAUUCUAUAAGAUUGAUGCACAGAUCACUUUUUUUGGAUAGACAAGUCUCGAGUCUAUAGUAUGAAAAUACUAGAGCAAGAGUGU